rnacentral:tRNA from 1 species
CCGCGCCGGGCGGUGGCGUUGCUGCGCCGGGUGCUGCAACUGCUCGGUGAUUCGCGGUUCCACUUCCUCCGGGCGCGGGC